GACGAACGCUGGCGGCGUGCUUAACACAUGCAAGUCGAACGGAAAGGCCCUGCUUUUGUGGGGUGCUCGAGUGGCGAACGGGUGAGUAACACGUGAGUAACCUGCCCUUGACUUCGGGAUAACUUCAGGAAACCGGGGCUAAUACCGGAUAGGAGCUCCUGCUGCAUGGUGGGGGUUGGAAAGUUUCGGCGGUUGGGGAUGGACUCGCGGCUUAUCAGCCUGGUGGUGGGGUAGUGGCUUACCAAGGCUUUGACGGGUAGCCGGCCUGAGAGGGUGACCGGCGACACUGGGACGAAGAUACGGCGCAGAAGCCUAGGGGAGGCAGGCGUGGUGAGUAUAGCACUAUGGGCGGAAGGCUGAUGCGGCAACGCCGGGUGCGGGGUGACGGCCUUCGGGUUGUAGACCGCAUGCGCCUGUGACGAAGCGGGAGUGACGGUAAUGGUUAAAGAAGCACCGGCUAACUACGUG
rnacentral:rRNA from 1 species